ensembl:snRNA U6 U6 spliceosomal RNA
GUGCUCACUUCAGCAGCACAUUCACUAAAAUUGGCACAAUAAAGAGAAAUUUAGCAGUAUCCCUGCACAAGGAUAACAUGUAAAUCUUUUAAGUGUUCCAUAUUUGG